UGAGAACACGUAUCGGUUUGAGAAAAAGGAGAAAAGAGGUCGACCUUAGAAGAGAGAAGUGCAAAGUAGGAUCUCCCAUCUCCAAGAACUCAAUAUUUUCUACUAAAUCGAGAAAACACAUUAUGCAACGAUGACAAGCGUCACCCACGUGAGAGUCCAACAGUCAUCGUAACAGAGAAGUAGACACCAAACUAUCAGCGAUGACAGGCGUCGGCCAUAUGACGGUCUAACCGUCAGUGCCUCACGAAAGACAUGAAUUCCCUCAUACCGUCAACGAUGACGAGUAGUACACCCAGAGGGCGACGAUCAUCAUGGUCGUGACGGUCCAACUGUUAGUCGUUGAGACUGAGGAGUGAUAGCUGUUAUUUUUUGGAGGAUGACAUAGUUAGCCUCUUUGGCUAGUUUGCUUGUAUUUUAUAUUUUCGUCAAACAUUUAUUGGCUAUUAGUAUUAUUCCAGAUUUUGCUCAUAUAUUGUAACAUCGGGUUGGAAAUACCUUUAUACGUCUUAUGAUUUGUUUUAAACUAAAUUAGUAUGUUAUGUUGUGAAUUUUAAUUCCCCCUUUGGAGUAAAAGUUAAUGUUUUGUCAAUGUGACAUCCUUAUUUCA